UACGUAGGGUGCAAGCGUUUAAUCGGAAUUACUGGGCGUAAAGCGUGCGCAGGCGGUUUUGUAAGUCUGUCGUGAAAAUCCCCCGGGCUCAACCUGGGAAUUGCGAUGGAGACUGCAAGGCUAGAAUCUGGCAGAGGGGGGGUAGAAUUCCACGUGUAGCAGUGAAAUGCGUAGAGAUGUGGAGGAACACCGAUGGCGAAGGCAGCCCCCCUGGGUCAAGAUUGACGCUCAUGCACGAAAGCGUGGGGGAGCAAACAGG
rnacentral:rRNA from 1 species